rnacentral:rRNA from 1 species
GAUGAACGCUGGCGGCGUGCCUAAUACAUGCAAGUCGAGCGAACGGACGAGAAGCUUGCUUCUCUGAUGUUAGCGGCGGACGGGUGAGUAACACGUGGAUAACCUACCUAUAAGACUGGGAUAACUUCGGGAAACCGUAGCUAAUACCGGAUAAUAUUUUGAACCGCAUGGUUCAAAAGUGAAAGACGGUCUUGCUGUCACUUAUAGAUGGAUCCGCGCUGCAUUAGCUAGUUGGUAAGGUAACGGCUUACCAAGGCAACGAUGCAUAGCCGACCUGAGAGGGUGAUCGGCCACACUGGAACUGAGACACGGUCCAGACUCCUACGGGAGGCAGCAGUAGGGAAUCUUCCGCAAUGGGCGAAGGCCUGACGGAGCAACGCCGCGUGAGUGAUGAAGGUCUUCGGAUCGUAAAACUCUGUUAUUAGGGAAAAACAUAUGUGUAAGUAACUGUGCACAUCUUGACGGUACCUAAUCAGAAAGCCACGGCUAACUACGUG